CAGAGGACUCAUCGAAAUGGUGACCUUGCCGUGAAAGCGGCAAUGGAAAAACCGGGUGAACUCAGGGAAACCGUCAGCCAGUCAAUGGCCCGGCAAUCCUGAGCCAAGCUCGCCGAAGGCAGGUCGAAGGACCGGUAGGCGAGAAGGUGCAGAGACUAGGGUGUGAGGAGCCAAUCCGAUAAGCACCCCAAGAGCGCCCGGCACCCUAACGCGCGCAGCAUUUCGCGGCGAGGGUGGUGAGAUAGUCCAGGGAAUGAGGAAACUCAUGC
rfam:Acidovorax sp. JS42, complete genome.